rnacentral:rRNA from 1 species
CCCGCUGAACUUAAGCAUAUCAAUAAGCGGAGGAAAAGAAACUAACAAGGAUUCCCCUAGUAACUGCGAGUGAAGCGGGAAGAGCUCAAAUUUAAAAUCUGGCGUGCCUCUGGCCGUCCGAGUUGUAGUCUGGAGAAGCGUUUUCCGUGUCGGACCGUGUACAAGUCUCUUGGAACAGGGCGUCAUAGAGGGUGAGAAUCCCGUCUUUGACACGGACUACCGAUGCUUUGUGAUGCGCUCUCAAAGAGUCGAGUUGUUUGGGAAUGCAGCUCAAAAUGGGUGGUAAAUUCCAUCUAAAGCUAAAUAUAGGCGAGAGACCGAUAGCGAACAAGUACCGUGAGGGAAAGAUGAAAAGCACUUUGGAAAGAGAGUUAAACAGUACGUGAAAUUGCUGAAAGGGAAACGCUUGAAGUCAGUCACGUCUGCCAGGACUCAGCCUCGCUUCUGCUUGGUGUACUUUCUGGUUUGAUGGGCCAACAUCAAUUUUGACCGUUGGAGAAAGGCCUAGGGAAUGUGGCACCUUCGGGUGUGUUAUAGCCCUCUGCUGUAUACGACGGUUGGGAUUGAGGACUGCAGCACGCCUUCAUGGCCGGGGUUCGCCCACGUACGUGCUUAGGAUGUUGGCAUAAUGGCUUUAAGCGACCCGUCUUGAAACACGG